UAAAAAAGGGGAGUGCAGAGGGGGCACCCCUCACCGAUGAGGGAGGGUGCUCAGGCUGCUUGCAGCCGCCGAAGGGAAC
rnacentral:sRNA from 12 species